UUGUGAUCGUUUAAAUUACUUCAUUACAGCUCGAUUUGUUUUUAAAUUCCAAAUAUGUGAAACAAAGUAGUUAUAGUUAAUAACUAAAUCAGCAGAGUAAAAGUGGAGGAUUAAAGUUUAAAGAACAGGGCUAUUGGAAGUAGUUCUACUGAAUAUCCUUAAGCAUCUUGUUUUCUGUGUCCUCAGAGAACACGUUGACAAUGUUGAAUUCCAAGGCAGCAUCUCUACGUGUACCAAAACUGUGACUAGGUUGCAAGUGAUGCAAAGUAAAUGAAGUGAGUUUGGAAGAGAGUCAAAAACCAUUCUAAUGAAGUGAGAUAUGGCAGCGAGAGCAAUUGGAUUCCAUGAGCCAAAGGAGAGUGGGCUACACAAUCUUCUAUUAGGUUGACUUGUGCCCCUCCCCUUGUUUGCUAUGACUAAAAAUGAACAAGAAAAUUGUGUAAAACUGUAAUAAGUAGCUAAAUCACAUUAGGUAUUAAAUUAAAAGUUCGAAAUGCUUCUAAUACACUUCACAUUACGAGCUCUACGAAACUGGUAGCACACUUCCAAUAGCAGUGUUCAAAACAACUUCAUUGAUGUAUACAGUAUAUCCAUCGUAAUUAAUUCAAAAAAUGUAAUUGCACUUCUGGGAUAAGUGAAAUAAUAAGCUAUUUUCGUUUUAAGGAAAUACCUGUCACAAAAUUCAGUCACUGAAAUUAUAAAAUUAAGAAUAAAUGUCGAUUUGCUAUGGCAAUGCAAAAAAAGUUUCGCGUCCUU